rnacentral:rRNA from 1 species
AUUGAACGCUAGCGGGAUGCUUUACACAUGCAAGUCGAACGAGUGGCGGACGGGUGAGUAAUAUAUCGGAACGUGCCCAGUAGCGGGGGAUAACUACUCGAAAGAGUGGCUAAUGCCGCAUAAUAUCGGCGCGGCCGAUAACGUAGUAGCUAGUUGGUGGGGAAAAGGCUAACCAAGGCAACGAGCCGUAGCUGGUUUGAGAGGACGACCAGCCACACUGGGACUGAGACACGGCCCAGACUCCUACGGUAGGCAGCAGUGGGGAAUUUUGGACAAUGGGGGAAACCCUGAUCCAGCCAUCCCGCGUGUAUGAGAAGGCCUUCGGGUUGUAAAGUACUUUUGGCAGAGAAGCGGUAUCUGCAGAAUAAGCACCGGCUAACUACGUGCCAGCAGCCGCGGUAAUUC